AUUUAAAAGGAGCAUGAUGGAAGUCAUAAAGAUGGCCAUCCUCCUGAUUGUACUAGGUAAGGACAUUUUGUGACAAUUAAUUUAAGGGUUCUUUAUAGAAUUUAAUUAUGUUUAAGAAAUAUGACAAAUUACAAUGGUAUUACAAAACUAUUAUUGAUAUGUAUUUAUGCACCUACACAUUAAUGCUUUCAGUUCCUAAAAUACGUCAGAAAUUGGUCUAAAAAAAUUAUUUUAAAAAAAUAUAUAUUUUACCAUUCCGGAUCACAGUCCUGAUGCUAGAAGGAAAAGCAAGGGAAGCACAAGCAACAACAACUGAGGCACCAACAACCACAACUGAGUUGCCCACAACCACCACAACUGAAGUACCCGCAACCACAACAAUGGCACCAACAACCACAACUGAGGUAACAACAACAACAACUGAGGCCCCCACAACAACCACAACUGAAGCAACCACAACCACAACUGAAGCAACAACAACCACAACUGAAGCAACAACAACCACAACUGAGGCAACUACAACCACAACUGAGGCACCCACAACAACCACAACUGAAGCAACAACAACUACAACUGAAGCAACAACAACCACAACUGGGGCACCCACAACAACGACAACUGAAGCAACCAUAACCACAACAGAAGCCCCCACAACAACCACAACUGAAGCAACUACAACAACAACUGAAGCAACAACAACCACAACUGAGGCCCCUACAACAACCACAACUGAAGCAACAACAACCACAACUGAGACAACUACAACCACAACCGAGGCACCUACAACAACCACAACUGAGGCAACAACAACAACAACUGAGGCACCCACAACAACCACAACUGAAGCAACAACAACCACAACGGAGGCCACUACAACCACAACUGAGGCCCCUACAACAACCACAACUGAAGCAACCACAACAACCACAACUGAAGCAACAACAACCACAACUGAAGCAACAACAACCACAACUGAAGCAACCACCACCACAACUGAGGCAACUACAACCGCAACUGAGGCACCCACAACAACCACAACUGAAGCAACAACAACGACAACGGAGGCAACUACAACCACAACUGAAGCACCCACAACAACCACAACUGAAGCAACAACAACUACAACUGAAGCAACAACAACCACAACUGGGGCACCCACAACAACGACAACUGAAGCAACCAUAACCACAACAGAAGCCCCCACAAAAACCACAACUGAAGCAACCACAACAACAACUGAGGCCACUACAACCACAACUGAGGCCCCUACAACAACCACAACUGAAGCAACCACAACAACCACAACUGAAGCAACAACAACCACAACUGAAGCAACAACAACCACAACUGAAGCAACAACAACAACAACUGCAGCAACCACCUCCACACCUGAGGCAACUACAACCACAACUGAAGCACCCACAACAACCACAACUGAAGCAACAACAACCACAACGGAGGCCACUACAACCACAACUGAGGCCCCUACAACAACCACAACUGAAGCAACCACAACUGAAGCAACAACAACCACAACUGAAGCAACAACAACCACAACUGAAGCAACCACCACCACAACUGAGGCAACUACAACCGCAACUGAGGCACCCACAACAACCACAACUGAAGCAACAACAACGACAACGGAGGCCACUGCAACCACAACUGAGGCCCCUACAACAACCACAACUGAGGCAACUACAACCACAACUGAGGCACCCAAUUCAACCACAACUGAAGCAACAACAACCACAACUGAAGCAACAACAACAACAGCUGGGGUACCCACAACAACGACAACUGAAGCAACCACAACCACAACAGAGGCCCCCACAACAACCACAACAGAAGCAACCACAACAACUGAAGCAACAACAACCACAACUGAAGCAACAACAACCACAACUGAAGCAACAACAACCACAACUGGGGAACCCACAACAACGACAACUGAAGCAACCACAACAACACCUGAAGCAACAACAACCACAACUGAGGCAACAACAACCACAACUGAAGCAACCACAACCACAACUGAGACACCCACAACAACAACAACUGAAGCAACAACAACUACAACUGAAGCAACAACAACCACAACUGGGGCACCCACAACAACAACAACUGAAGCAACCACAACCACAACAGAGGCCCCCACAACAACCACAACUGAAGCAACCACAACUACAACUGAAGCAACCACAACAACAACAGAGGCCCCCACAACAACCACAACUGAAGCAACCACAACCACAACUGAGACACCCACAACAACAACAACUGAAGCAACAACAACUACAACUGAAGCAACAACAACCACAACUGGGGCACCCACAACAACAACAACUGAAGCAACCACAACCACAACAGAGGCCCCCACAACAACCACAACUGAAGCAACCACAACUACAACUGAAGCAACCACAACAACAACAGAGGCCCCCACAACAACCACAACUGAAGCAACAACAACUACAACUGAAGCAACAACAACCACAACUGGGGCACCCACAACAACGACAACUGAAGCAACCAUAACCACAACAGAAGCCCCCACAACAACCACAACUGAAGCAACCACAACAACAACUGAGGCCACUACAACCACAACUGAGGCCCCUACAACAACCACAACUGAAGCAACCACAACAACCACAACUGAAGCAACAACAACCACAACUGAAGCAACAACAACCACAACUGAAGCAACAACAACAACAACUGCAGCAACCACCUCCACACCUGAGGCAACUACAACCACAACUGAAGCACCCACAACAACCACAACUGAAGCAACAACAACCACAACGGAGGCCACUACAACCACAACUGAGGCCCCUACAACAACCACAACUGAAGCAACCACAUCAACCACAACUGAAGCAACAACAACCACAACUGAAGCAACAACAACCACAACUGAAGCAACCACAACCACAACUGAGGCAACUACAACCACAACUGAAGCACCCACAACAACCACAACUGAAGCAACAACAACCACAACUGAGGCCCCUACAACAACCACAACUGAAGCAACAACAACCACAACUGAGGCAACUACAACCACAACUGAGGCACCCAAUUCAACCACAACUGAAGCAACAACAACCACAACUGAAGCAACAACAACAACAGCUGGGGCACCCACAACAACGACAACUGAAGCAACCACAACCACAACAGAGGCCCCCACAACAACCACAACAGAAGCAACCACAACAACUGAAGCAACAACAACCACAACUGAAGCAACAACAACCACAACUGAAACAACAACAACAACAACUGGGGCACCCACAACAACGACAACUGAAGCAACCACAACCACAACAGAGGCCCCCACAACAACCACAACAGAAGCAACCACAACAACAACUGAAGCAACAACAACCACAACUGAGACCCCUACAACAACCACAACUGAAGCAACAACAACAACAACAACUGAGGCACCCACAACAACCACAACUGAAGCUACAACAACAACCACAACUGAGGCACCCACAACAACCACAACUGAAGCAACCACAACCACAACUGAAGCAACAACAACCACAACUGAGGCACCCACAACAACUACAACUGAAGCAACAACAACCACAACUGAAGCAACAACAACAACAACUGCAGCAACCACCUCCACACCUGAGGCAACUACAACCACAACUGAAGCACCCACAACAACCACAACUGAAGCAACAACAACCACAACUGAGGCCCCUACAACAACCACAACUGAAGCAACAACAACCACAACUGAGGCAACUACAACCACAACUGAGGCACCCACUUCAACCACAACUGAAGCAACAACAACAACAACUGGGGCACCCACAACAAAGACAACUGAAGCAACCACAACCACAACAGAGGCCCCCACAACAACCACAACAGAAGCAACCACAACAACAACUGAAGCAACAACAACCACAACUGAGUCACCCACAACAACCACAACUGAAGCUACAACAACAACCACAACUGAGGCACCCACAACAACCACAACUGAAGCUACAACAACAACCACAACUGAGGCACCCACAACAACCACAACUGAAGCAACCACAACCACAACUGAAGCAACAACAACCACAACGGAGGCCACUACAACAACCACAACUGAAGCAACAACAACCACAACUGAAGCAACAACAACCACAACUGGGGAACCCACAACAACGACAACUGAAGCAACCACAACCACAACAGAGGCCCCCACAACAACCACAACUGAAGCAACCACAACUACAACUGAAGCAACCACAACAACAACAGAGGCCCCCACAACAACCACAACUGAAGCAACAACAACUACAACUGUAGCAACAACAACCACAACUGGGGCACCCACAACAACAACAACUGAAGCAACCACAACCACAACAGAGGCCACCACAACAACCACAACUGACGCAACAACAACCACAACUGAGGCAACAACAACCACAACUGAAGCAACAACAACCACAACUGAGGCACCCACAACAACUACAACUGAAGCAACAACAACCACAACUGAAGCAACAACAACCACAACUGAGGCACCCACAACAACCACAACUGAAGCAACAACAACCACAACUGAGGCACCCACAACCACAACUGAGGCACCCACAACAACCACAACUGAAGCAACCACAACCACAACAGAGGCCCCCACAACAACCACAACUGAAGAAACCACAACUACAACUAAAGCAACCACAACAGAGGCCCCCACAACAACCACAACUGAAGCAACAACAACUACAACUGAAGCAACAACAACCACAACUGGGGCACCCACAACAACAACAACUGAAGCAACCACAACCACAACAGAGGCCCCCACAACAACCACAACUGAAGCAACCACAACUACAACUGAAGCUACCACAACCACAACAACGGCCCCCACAACAACCACAACUGAAGCAACCACAACAACAACUGAAGCAACCACAACAACAACAGAGGCCCCCACAACAACCACAACUGAAGCAACAACAACUACAACUGAAGCAACAACAACCACAACUGGGGCACCCACAACAACAACAACUGAAGCAACCACAACCACAACAGAGGCCCCCACAACAACCACAACUGAAGCAACCACAACUACAACUGAAGCAACCACAACAACAACAGAGGCCCCCACAACAACCACAACUGAAGCAACAACAACUACAACUGAAGCAACAACAACCACAACUGGGGCACCCACAACAACAACAACUGAAGCACCCACAACCACAACAGAGGCCCCCACAACAACCACAACUGACGCAACAACAACCACAACUGAGGAAACAACAACCACAACUGAAGCAACCACAACCACAACUGAGGCACCCACAACAACAACAACUGAAGCAACAACAACUACAACUGAAGCAACAACAACCACAACUGAGGCACCCACAACAACCACAACUGAAGCAACAACAACCACGAUUGAGGGAACUACAACCACAACUGAGGCACCCACAACAACCACAACUGAAGCAACCACAACCACAACAGAGGCCCCCACAACAACCACAACUGAAGAAACCACAACUACAACUGAAGCAACCACAACAGAAGCCCCCACAACAACCACAACUGAAGCAACCACAACCACAACUGAAGCAACAACAACCACAACUGAAGCAACCACAACCACAACUGAGGCAACUAUAACCACAACUGAGGCACCCACAAUAACCACAACUGAAGCAACAACAACAACUACUGAAGCAACAACAACUACAACUGAGGCCUCUACAACAACCACAACUGAAGCCCCCACAACAACGACAACUGAAGCAACAACAACCACUACUGAGGCCCCUACAACAACCACAACUGAAGCCCCCACAACAACCACAACUGAAGCAACCACAACCACAACUGAAGCAACAACAACCACAACUGAAGCAACCACAACCACAACUGAGGCCCCCACAACAACCACAACAGAAUCAACCACAACCACAACUGAAGCAACAACAACCACAACUGAAGCAACAACAACCACAACUGAAGCAACAACAACUACAACUGAGGCCUCUACAACAACCAUAACUGAAGCACCCACAACAACGACAACUGAAGCAACAACAACCACUACUGAGGCCCCUACAACAACCACAACUGAAGCCCCCACAACAACCACAACUGAAGCAACCACAACCACAACUGAGGCAACUACAACCACAACUGAGGCACCCACAACAACAACAACUGAAGCAUCCACAACAACCACAACUGAAGCAACAACAACCACAACAGAGGCCACCACAACAACAACAACUGAGGCACCCACAGUUGAAGCAACAACAACCACAACUGAAGCAACAACAACCACAACUGAAGCAACCACAACCACAACUGAAGCAACAACAACCACAACUGAAGCAAUCACAACCACAACUGAGGCCCCCACAACAACCACAACAGAAUCAACUACAACCACAACUGAAGCAACAACAACCACAACAGAGGCCACCACAACAACCACAACUGAGGCACCGACAACUGAAGCAACAACAACCACAACUGAAGCAACCACAACCACAACUGAGGCCCCCACAACAACCACAACUGAAGCAACCACAACCACAACUGAGGCCCCCACAACAACCACAACUCAAGCCCCCACAACGACCACAACUGAAGCAACAACAACCACAACUGAGGCAACCACAACCACAACUGAAGCUCCCACAACAACCACAACUGAAGCAACAACAACCACAACUGAGGCCCCGACAACAACCACAACUGAGGCCCCCACAACCACAACUGAGGCCCCUACAACAACCACAACUGAAGCCCCCACAACAACCACAACUGAAGCAACCACAACCACAACUGAGGCAACUACAACCACAACUGAGGCACCCACAACAACCACAACUGAGGCACCCACAACAACCACAACUGAAGCAACAACAACCACAACAGAGGCCACCACAACCACAACUGAGGCACCGACAAUUGAAGCAACAACAACCACAACUGAAGCAACCACAACCACAACUGAAGCAACAACAACCACAACUGAAGCAACCACAACCACAACUGAGGCCCCCACAACAACCACAACAGAAGCAACCACAACCACAACUGAAGCAACAACAACCACAACUGAAGCAACAACAACCACAACUGAGGCCCCUACAACAACCACAACUGAAGCCCCCACAACAACCACAACUGAAGCAACAACAACCACAACUGAGGCCCCUACAACAACCACAACUGAAGCCCCCACAACAACCACAACUGAAGCAACCACAACCACAACUGAGACACCCACAACAACAACAACUGAAGCAACAACAACUACAACUGAAGCAACAACAACCACAAAUGGGGCACCCACAACAACGGCAAUUGAAGCAACAACAACCACAACUGAAGCAACAACAACCACAACCGAGGCACCCACAACAACAACAACUGAAGCAACAACAACAACAACUGAGGCACCCACAAAAACCACAACUGAGGCCCCUACAACAACCACAACUGAAGCAACCACAACAACUACAACUGAGACACCCACAACAACCACAACUGAAGCAACAACAACAACAACUGAGGCACCCACAAAAACCACAACUGAAGCAACAUUAACAACAACUGAGGUCCCUACAACAACCACAACUAAAGCAACAACAACCACAACUGAAGCAACAACAACAACAACUGAGGCCCCUACAACAACCACAACUGAAGCAACAACAACCACAACUGAAGCAACAACAACCACAACUGAGGCACCCACAACCACAACUGAGCCACCCACAACCACAACUGAGGUGCCCACAACCAAAACUGAGGCACCCACAACCACAACUGAGGCACCCACAACUACAACUGAUGCACCCACAACCACAACUGAAGCAACAUCAACAACAACUGAGGCCCUUACAACAACCACAACUGAAGCAACAACAACCACAACUGAGGCACCCACAACAACAAUAACUGAGGCCCCUACAACAACCACAACUGAGGCCCCUACAACAACCACAACUGAAGCAACAACAACAACAACUGAGGCACCCACAACAACCACAACUGAAGCAAAAUCAACAACAACUGAGGUCCCUACAACAACCACAACUGAAGCAACAACAACAACAACUGAGGCACCCACAACAACCACAACUGAAGCAACAUCAACAACAACUGAGGCCCCUACAACAACCACAACUGAAACAACAACAACCACAACUGAAGCAACAACAACAACAACUGAGGCCCCUACAACAACCAUAACUGAAGCAACCACAACAACCACAACUGAAGCAACAACAACCACAACUGAAGCAACAACAACUUCAACUGAGGCACCCACAACUACAACUGAGGCACCAACAACCACAACUGAGCCACCCACAACCACAACUGAGCCACCCACAACCACAACUGAGGUGCCCACAACCAAAACUGAGGCACCCACAACCACAACUGAGGCACCCACAACUACAACUGAUACACCCACAACCACAACUGAGACACCAACAACUACAACGAAGGAGGCACCCACAUCCACAACUGAGGCAUCCACAACCACCACAACUGAGGCGCCUAAAACCACAGCUGAGCCAACCACAACCACAACUGAGGCACCCACAACCACCACAACUGAGGCACCCACAAAGACAACUGGAGCAACAACAUCAACAAUUGGGGCAACAACAACUACAACUGGAGCAGCAACAACUACAACCCAAUCGACAACAGUUGCUCCAAUACUGUAUACCAUCUCUGCAGCUGUAAAUCAACCCUAUUCAGCUGAUCUUGCCAACAAAAGCAGCAGUGCAUACAAAAACCUUGAAUCCCGCUGUGUAUUUACGUUCACUAUAAUAUAUAGAGAGCGGUUUGGUGUCCUGUUUGACUUCUGCUUUGUAAUACAAUUCAGUAUUUCUACAGUUCAAUCUAGAGCAGAUGCAACUGCAGUGGACAUGGGACUUGUCUUCAACUCAUCUUCUACCACAGGAGAUCUCCCAUCAAAUGCUGUUGUCGCCCAAACAUUAGUAGACGCUGCAAAUAACACUACUAAUAAUUUCAGUGUGAGCAUAAACCCCUCUACAGUUACAGUUUUAUCCAGUCCAGUGUCUACACCUUUUACACCUGCAAAUGCAACUUUAACAACUGUAGCAUCUACAACAUCUACAACUCUACCAACUGCAUCUACAACAACAACAACUGCAGCAUCUACAACAGCUGGAACUGCAAUAAUACCAGUGGUUUUCAGAUCUCGCUCUGACACAUUUACAAGUGACUUAAAUAAUCCAUUAUCUGCACGUUUUAUACAGCGAACUGCAACGAUAACAUCACAGCUUAAACCUCUUUUUAAAAAUGAUUUUCCGAGCUUCAUCGACAUUAUUGUUCUGAAAUACAGCAAUGGAUCAAUCUACAACUUCUUUGACCUGAUCUUUAAUAAGACAUCCGUUCCUAACAACACUCAGGUUGCGAGUGUUCUGAGCAACGCAUCUUCAUUUGUCACUGGCUUUGACAUUGAAGUCAGCUCCAUCAUUGUGAAUAACAUACCUUCAGGUGGAGUAGCACACAAGAUCAGCCUCGUCACUGCGUCCUGCCUCGUGCUCUUAUCAUUGCUACUGUCAAGCCACCAAUAGUCUGUACUGAACUCAGGUGGAUCAUAAUUAAAAGGAUAAUGAAAGUCACUGAAUCAAUAGAAUAUAGAAUAAAUAAAGUAACUAAAUAUUUAUUAAACCCUAG
ensembl:lncRNA cell wall protein DAN4-like